rnacentral:rRNA from 1 species
CUCGACAACGGAUAUCUUGGCUCUUGCAUCGAUGAAGAACGUAGUGAAAUGCAAUACUUGUUGUGAACUGCAGAAUCCCUUGAACCAUCGAGUUUUCGAACGCAAGUUGUACCCGAAGCCUUCUGGCCAAGGGGCACGUCUUCCUUGGGCAUCACG